GAUGAACGCUGGCGGCGUGCCUAAUACAUGCAAGUCGAGCGAACAGACGAGGAGCUUGCUCCUCUGACGUUAGCGGCGGACGGGUGAGUAACACGUGGAUAACCUACCUAUAAGACUGGGAUAACUUCGGGAAACCGGAGCUAAUACCGGAUAAUAUAUUGAACCGCAUGGUUCAAUAGUGAAAGACGGUUUUGCUGUCACUUAUAGAUGGAUCCGCGCCGCAUUAGCUAGUUGGUAAGGUAACGGCUUACCAAGGCAACGAUGCGUAGCCGACCUGAGAGGGUGAUCGGCCACACUGGAACUGAGACACGGUCCAGACUCCUACGGGAGGCAGCAGUAGGGAAUCCUCCGCAAUGGGCGAAAGCCUGACGGAGCAACGCCGCGUGAGUGAUGAAGGUCUUCGGAUCGUAAAACUCUGUUAUUAGGGAAGAACAAAUGUGUAAGUACCUAUGCACGUCUUGACGGUACCUAAUCAGAAAGCCACGGCUAACUACGUG
rnacentral:rRNA from 1 species